AAAUAUUCAAUGAUAGGGAAGAGUAGCUUUAAGAAUUGCUUACAGAGAGCCGAAGGUGUUAGAAUUCGGCAGCAUGAAUUAUUAUGAAUGGGCCCUUGAGAAAUAAAUCGAAAUCCGUUAGGAAAAGUAGUGGUUAUCGGAAGCCUACUGUUAAAAAGGUUAGAGCAUAUUUGUGUUGAAAAUUAAGUUGUGUAUUUAUACAUAAAUUAGGUGGUACCGCGAUUAUAACCUCGCCCUAAUA
rnacentral:ncRNA from 1 species